rnacentral:tRNA from 1 species
UCCCUGGUGGCUCAGACGGUAAAGCGUCUGUCUACAAUGCAGGAGACCCAGGUUCAAUCCCUGGGUCGGGAA